CCUACGGGUGGCUGCAGUGGGGAAUCUUGCACAAUGGGGGCAACCCUGAUGCAGCGACGCCGCGUGAGCGAUGAAGCCCUUCGGGGUGUAAAGCUCUUUCGACCGGAACGAUAAUGACGGUACCGGGAGAAGAAGCUGCGGCUAACUACGUGCCAGCAGCCGCGGUAAUACGUAGGCAGCGAGCGUUGUUCGGAGUUACUGGGCGUAAAGCGUGCGUAGGCGGUUUUCUAAGUUUGGUGUGAAAUCUCCCGGCUCAACUGGGAGGGUGCGCCGAA
rnacentral:rRNA from 1 species